rnacentral:lncRNA from 1 species
GAUCUCUGUCAUAUUUUCCACAACUUAUGCGAACCUGCAUUCAUCCCCACAUAGUUUUUUUUAAAAAAAAUGAAGAGCAGAUCGUUUAUUUUAAAAUCCACAUUCUUCUUCGGCGCAGUGUGCGCGACUGAAUAAGCAAAAGCAGGUCCUGCUUCCCACUUUUUAAGUGCUUUCGGGUAAACACACUCACAUGCAGUAAGCAUGGUUGUCCAGUUACACAACAACAGCGCAGAGCGCUCACGAACCUGCUACCCCCAUACUUACAUAGGCGUCAUCUUAGAAACAGGAGGAGAUGUUCGCCGGGCACUCAGAGAGCCAGCAGUCUUAAAAGACCUUGUCACCGAGGACAGCCUCACCUCUGAAAUCUUGAGCUUUGAAAUUCCACUCUGUGCCCGACCUUGCACUCUGCUACUCUCCUCCACAUCAUCCUCCCAAGCUUCAGGCUUCCAAGCAUCUGAGCCUCCAUCCUCCCACCUUGGAACCCCUGGGACUCCGCCUUUAGGAUGCUGUAAGGAUGCUCUCAUCCUUAGGAGCACCCCUUGCCCCUUGACUUGCUCAAGCGACAACACCUCCGUCUUCGCUCCUCCAUCUGUUUUCUUUGUAUGACUGCAGAAAAAUCACAGCCUCCUGCAGCCUGGUGCUAACUCAGGGCUUGAGUUUCAAACCUCAGCUGGAUGCUCAAGCUCAUCAGAAAUUCUUUUGAGCCAUCCUCGCUGGUUCUUUGAGAAUUUACAUGACCUAAGGCAUGUGGGACCAAGAGGUAGGAUCAAACUAUCUAAUUAAAAUGUACUUAAAAGCUCAUUUUUGUUU